rnacentral:rRNA from 1 species
UACGUAGGGCGCAAGCGUUGUCCGGAAUCAUUGGGCGUAAAGAGCUCGUAGGCGGUUUGUCGCGUCUGCUGUGAAAACCUAAGGCUCAACCUUGGGCUUGCAGUGGGUACGGGCAGACUAGAGUGCGGUAGGGGUGACUGGAAUUCCUGGUGUAGCGGUGAAAUGCGUAGAUAUCGAGAGGGAACACCUGCGGCGAAGGCGGGUUGCUGGGCCGACACUGACGGCUGAUG